rnacentral:rRNA from 1 species
CUACGUGCCAGCAGCCGCGGUAAUACGUAGGUGGCAAGCGUUGUCCGGAAUUAUUGGGCGUAAAGCGCGCGCAGGCGGAUUGGUCAGUCUGUCUUAAAAGUUCGGGGCUUAACCCCGUGAUGGGAUGGAAACUGCCAAUCUAGAGUAUCGGAGAGGAAAGUGGAAUUCCUAGUGUAGCGGUGAAAUGCGUAGAUAUUAGGAGGAACACCAGUGGCGAAGGCGACUUUCUGGACGAAAACUGACGCUGAGGCGCGAAAGCCAGGGGAGCGAACGGGAUUAGAUACCCCGGUAGUCCUGGCCGUAAACGAUGGGUACUAGGUGUAGGAGGUAUCGACCCCUUCUGUGCCGGAGUUAACGCAAUAAGUACCCCGCCUGGGGAGUACGACCGCAAGGUUGAAACUCAAAGGAAUUGACGGGGGCCCGCACAAGCGGUGGAGUAUGUGGUUUAAUUCGUCGCAACGCGAAGAACCUUACCAGGUCUUGACAUUGAUGGACAGAACUAGAGAUAG